UACGUAGGGUGCAAGCGUUGUCCGGAAUUAUUGGGCGUAAAGAGCUCGUAGGCGGUCUGUCGCGUCGGAUGUGAAAAUCCAGGGCUCAACCCUGGACCUGCAUUCGAUACGGGCAGACUAGAGUUCGGCAGGGGAGACUGGAAUUCCCGGUGUAGUGGUGGAAUGCGUAGAUAUCGGGAGGAACACCAGUGGCGAAGGCGGUUACCUGGAGCUUUGCUGACGCUGAUGCGCGAAAGCGUGGGGAAGCGAGUCCGG
rnacentral:rRNA from 1 species